rnacentral:lncRNA from 1 species
CAAAACAUAUCAGAACUGAGGAUUAAAUUACAUGCAUAUUAAAAGAUCUUAUCUUGAUUUGAGUACAACUUUGACACUGAUUAUUCCUAAAAUAGAAAACCGUAAGCCUAAACGUACUGGGAAAAUUCAAGACAAAUAUGCCAGCAGCCUGGGGUAGGUGUGAAGUGGCUGAGGCAUUUAAUCACACCUGUAACACACACGGACUCAGAAAGUACUAAAUAAAGCAAAAACUGCUAGAAACAGACAUUUCCACACUUGAUGUAAGAUUUUAACAUAACCACAAUGAUGUAGGAUUUUUAACACAAGUCUCUCAAAUUCGACAGCAUGGCUAGU